rfam:Enterobacter aerogenes KCTC 2190, complete genome.
GGUUAAGCGACUAAGCGUACACGGUGGAUGCCCUGGCAGUCAGAGGCGAUGAAGGACGUGCUAAUCUGCGAAAAGCGUCGGUAAGGUGAUAUGAACCGUUACAGCCGGCGAUGUCCGAAUGGGGAAACCCAGUGUGAUUCGUCACACUAUCGUUAACUGAAUACAUAGGUUAACGAGGCGAACCGGGGGAACUGAAACAUCUAAGUACCCCGAGGAAAAGAAAUCAACCGAGAUUCCCCCAGUAGCGGCGAGCGAACGGGGAGCAGCCCAGAGUCUGAAUCAGCUUGUGUGUUAGUGGAACGGUCUGGAAAGUCCGACGGUACAGGGUGAUAGUCCCGUACACCAAAAUGCACAGGCUGUGAACUCGAAGAGUAGGGCGGGACACGUGGUAUCCUGUCUGAAUAUGGGGGGACCAUCCUCCAAGGCUAAAUACUCCUGACUGACCGAUAGUGAACCAGUACCGUGAGGGAAAGGCGAAAAGAACCCCGGCGAGGGGAGUGAAAAAGAACCUGAAACCGUGUACGUACAAGCAGUGGGAGCACCUUUAUGGUGUGACUGCGUACCUUUUGUAUAAUGGGUCAGCGACUUAUAUUCUGUAGCAAGGUUAACCGUAUAGGGGAGCCGCAGGGAAACCGAGUCUUAACUGGGCGUUAAGUUGCAGGGUAUAGACCCGAAACCCGGUGAUCUAGCCAUGGGCAGGUUGAAGGUUGGGUAACACUAACUGGAGGACCGAACCGACUAAUGUUGAAAAAUUAGCGGAUGACUUGUGGCUGGGGGUGAAAGGCCAAUCAAACCGGGAGAUAGCUGGUUCUCCCCGAAAGCUAUUUAGGUAGCGCCUCGUGAAUUCAUCUUCGGGGGUAGAGCACUGUUUCGGCUAGGGGGUCAUCCCGACUUACCAACCCGAUGCAAACUACGAAUACCGAAGAAUGUUAUCACGGGAGACACACGGCGGGUGCUAACGUCCGUCGUGAAGAGGGAAACAACCCAGACCGCCAGCUAAGGUCCCAAAGUCACAGUUAAGUGGGAAACGAUGUGGGAAGGCACAGACAGCCAGGAUGUUGGCUUAGAAGCAGCCAUCAUUUAAAGAAAGCGUAAUAGCUCACUGGUCGAGUCGGCCUGCGCGGAAGAUGUAACGGGGCUAAACUGUGCACCGAAGCUGCGGCAGCGACACUAUGUGUUGUUGGGUAGGGGAGCGUUCUGUAAGCCUGCGAAGGUGGCCUGUGAGGGUUGCUGGAGGUAUCAGAAGUGCGAAUGCUGACAUAAGUAACGAUAAUGCGGGUGAAAAGCCCGCACGCCGGAAGACCAAGGGUUCCUGUCCAACGUUAAUCGGGGCAGGGUGAGUCGACCCCUAAGGCGAGGCCGAAAGGCGUAGUCGAUGGGAAACAGGUUAAUAUUCCUGUACUUGGUGUUACUGCGAAGGGGGGACGGAGAAGGCUAUGUUAGCCGGGCGACGGUUGUCCCGGUUUAAGCAUGUAGGCGGAGGUUCCAGGUAAAUCCGGUACCUUUUAACGCUGAGGUGUGAUGACGAGGCACUACGGUGCUGAAGUAACAAAUGCCCUGCUUCCAGGAAAAGCCUCUAAGCAUCAGGUAACAUUGAAUCGUACCCCAAACCGACACAGGUGGUCAGGUAGAGAAUACCAAGGCGCUUGAGAGAACUCGGGUGAAGGAACUAGGCAAAAUGGUGCCGUAACUUCGGGAGAAGGCACGCUGAUAUGUAGGUGAAGUCCCUGCGGAUGGAGCUGAAAUCAGUCGAAGAUACCAGCUGGCUGCAACUGUUUAUUAAAAACACAGCACUGUGCAAACACGAAAGUGGACGUAUACGGUGUGACGCCUGCCCGGUGCCGGAAGGUUAAUUGAUGGGGUUAUCCGUAAGGAGAAGCUCUUGAUCGAAGCCCCGGUAAACGGCGGCCGUAACUAUAACGGUCCUAAGGUAGCGAAAUUCCUUGUCGGGUAAGUUCCGACCUGCACGAAUGGCGUAAUGAUGGCCAGGCUGUCUCCACCCGAGACUCAGUGAAAUUGAACUCGCUGUGAAGAUGCAGUGUACCCGCGGCAAGACGGAAAGACCCCGUGAACCUUUACUAUAGCUUGACACUGAACAUUGAGCCUUGAUGUGUAGGAUAGGUGGGAGGCUUUGAAGCGUGGACGCCAGUCUGCGUGGAGCCAACCUUGAAAUACCACCCUUUAAUGUUUGAUGUUCUAACGUUGGCCCCUAAUCGGGGUUGCGGACAGUGUCUGGUGGGUAGUUUGACUGGGGCGGUCUCCUCCCAAAGAGUAACGGAGGAGCACGAAGGUUAGCUAAUCCUGGUCGGACAUCAGGAGGUUAGUGCAAUGGCAUAAGCUAGCUUGACUGCGAGCGUGACGGCGCGAGCAGGUGCGAAAGCAGGUCAUAGUGAUCCGGUGGUUCUGAAUGGAAGGGCCAUCGCUCAACGGAUAAAAGGUACUCCGGGGAUAACAGGCUGAUACCGCCCAAGAGUUCAUAUCGACGGCGGUGUUUGGCACCUCGAUGUCGGCUCAUCACAUCCUGGGGCUGAAGUAGGUCCCAAGGGUAUGGCUGUUCGCCAUUUAAAGUGGUACGCGAGCUGGGUUUAGAACGUCGUGAGACAGUUCGGUCCCUAUCUGCCGUGGGCGCUGGAGAAUUGAGGGGGGCUGCUCCUAGUACGAGAGGACCGGAGUGGACGCAUCACUGGUGUUCGGGUUGUCAUGCCAAUGGCAUUGCCCGGUAGCUAAAUGCGGAAGAGAUAAGUGCUGAAAGCAUCUAAGCACGAAACUUGCCCCGAGAUGAGUUCUCCCUGAGACUUUAAGUCUCCUGAAGGAACGUUAAAGACGAUGACGUUGAUAGGUCGGGUGUGUAAGCGUAGCGAUACGUUGAGCUAACCGAUACUAAUGAACCGUGAGGCUUAACCUU